UCAAUAAGCGGAGGAAAAGAAACUAACAAGGAUUCCCUUAGUAACGGCGAGUGAAGAGGGAAGAGCUCAAAUUUGAAAUCUGGCGGCCUUACGGUCGUCCGAGUUGUAAUCUAGAGAAGUGUUUUCCGUGCUGGACCGUGUACAAGUCCUUUGGAACAAGGCGUCAUAGAGGGUGAGAAUCCCGUCUACGACACGGACUACCAGUGCUCUGUGAUACACUCUCAACGAGUCGAGUUGUUUGGGAAUGCAGCUCAAAAUGGGUGGUAAAUUCCAUCUAAAGCUAAAUAUGGGCGAAAGACCGAUAGCGAACAAGUACCGUGAGGGAAAGAUGAAAAGCACUUUGGAAAGAGAGUUAAACAGUACGUGAAAUUGUUGAAAGGGAAACGCUUGAAGUCAGUCGCGUCUUCAGAAACUCAGCUGGGCUUUCUGCCUGGUGUACUUUUCUGUGGGACGGGCCAGCAUCAGUUUCGGCCGCCAGAAAAAGGUGGGAGGAAGGUGGCACCUCCGGGUGUGUUAUAGCCUCUCAUCGUAUGUGGCGGCGGGGAACUGAGGACCGCAUCACGCCUUUAUGGCCGGGUUCGCCCACGUAACGUUGCUUAGGAUGCU
rnacentral:rRNA from 1 species